GACGAACGCUGGCGGCGUGCUUAACACAUGCAAGUCGAACGCAUCCUUCGGGGUGAGUGGCAGGCGGGUGAGUAACGCGUGGGAACGUGCCCUUCAGUUCGGGAUAACCCAGGGAAACUUGGGCUAAUACCGGAUACGUGCGAGAGCAGAAAGAUUUAUCGCUGAAGGAUCGGCCCGCGUCUGAUUAGCUAGUUGGUGGGGUGAUGGCCCACCAAGGCGACGAUCAGUAGCUGGUCUGAGAGGAUGAUCAGCCACAUUGGGACUGAGACACGGCCCAAACUCCUACGGGAGGCAGCAGUGGGGAAUAUUGGACAAUGGGCGCAAGCCUGAUCCAGCCAUGCCGCGUGAGUGAUGAAGGCCUUAGGGUUGUAAAGCUCUUUCGUCCGGGACGAUAAUGACGGUACCGGAAGAAGAAGCCCCGGCUAACUUCGUGCCAGCAGCCGCCGUAA
rnacentral:rRNA from 1 species